UCGACAAAUGACUUUGGUUCUCUUUACUUCACAAAAGUUAAUAAUUUUUUUAUAUUUUGACCUGGCCGGUAAUUUCUUGGUGCACUUCUGGCGAGACAGAGCUUUGUUAUUUUGAACAAAUAAAAUAUUGUCCGAGUUGCUCGUGUUUUCGGAGACGGAAAUAUCAUCCAAUAAAUUGUCAUAAAUGCUUUUUGGGUUAGUUUUAACAGGCAUACUAUC
rnacentral:lncRNA from 1 species